GAUGAACGCUGACGGCGUGCCUAAUACAUGCAAGUCGAGCGAAUGGAUUAAGAGCUUGCUCUUAUGAAGUUAGCGGCGGACGGGUGAGUAACACGUGGGUAACCUGCCCAUAAGACUGGGAUAACUCCGGGAAACCGGGGCUAAUACCGGAUAACAUUUUGAACCGCAUGGUUCGAAAUUGAAAGGCGGCUUCGGCUGUCACUUAUGGAUGGACCCGCGUCGCAUUAGCUAGUUGGUGAGGUAACGGCUCACCAAGGCAACGAUGCGUAGCCGACCGGAGAGGGUGGUCGGCAACACUGGGACUGAGACACGGCCCAGACUCCUACGGGAGGCAGCAGUAGGGAAUCUUCCGCAAUGGACGAAAGUCUGACGGAGCAACGCCGCGUGAGUGAUGAAGGCUUUCGGGUCGUAAAACUCUGUUGUUAGGGAAGAACAAGUGCUAGUUGAAUAAGCUGGCACCUUGACGGUACCUAACCAGAAAGCCACGGCUAACUUCGUGCCAGCCGCCGCCGUAA
rnacentral:rRNA from 1 species